AUGCGGCGGGAAGAAGUGGAAUUUAGAAGUGUUGCUGACUUUAUAUUUAGGUUUCGGCAUAACAAAGCUUGCACUGUCUUUUCGCACUUAGGCGCACAACGUGCCAUUGGUAAUGAUUCUACUACGGUGCUGCAAAUUCGCAAGCUGAUCCUAAGUAAUCGCUGUUGUUCAUUGGAUUCCUCCGGAAUUACUUCGUUAGGAUUGAAGAAUUGCAGCAAUUCUUCCUGA
rnacentral:rRNA from 1 species